CAGUCGCCACGGGAAUACGUAGGGGGCUAGCGUUGUUCGGAUUUACUGGGCGUAAAGGGCGCGUAGGCGGACUGAUAAGUCAGGGGUGAAAUCCCAAGGCUCAACCUUGGAACUGCCUUUGAUACUGGAAAUCUUGAGUCCGGGAGAGGUGAGUGGAACUGCGAGUGUAGAGGUGAAAUUCGUAGAUAUUCGCAAGAACACCAGUGGCGAAGGCGGCUCACAGGCCCGGUACUGACGCUGAGGCACGAAAGCGUGGGGAGCAAACAGGAUUAGAUACCCCUGUAGUCCCUGUCUCUUAUAA
rnacentral:rRNA from 1 species